rnacentral:misc_RNA from 1 species
UUUCCGUAGGUGAACCUGCGGAAGGAUCAUUCAUAAUAAGUGUUUUAUGGCACUUUUUUAAAUCCAUAUCCACCUUGUGUGCAAAGUCAGGGUUGAUUUUCUCUCGAGAGGAUCAGCCCCAAACAUCAACUAUAUCUCAACUCUUUGUCUGAAAAAUAUUAUGAAUAAAACAAUUCAAAAUACAACUUUCAACAACGGAUCUCUUGGCUUUC